rnacentral:rRNA from 1 species
ACACAUGCAAGUCGAACGGAGCUUAGAGAGCUUGCUUUUUAAGCUUAGUGGCGAACGGGUGAGUAACGCGUGAGUAACCUGCCCUAGAGUGGGGGACAACAGUUGGAAACGACUGCUAAUACCGCAUAAGCCCACGGUACCGCAUGGUACUGAGGGAAAAGGAUUUAUUCGCUUUAGGAUGGACUCGCGUCCAAUUAGCUAGUUGGUGAGGUAACGGCCCACCAAGGCGACGAUUGGUAGCCGGACUGAGAGGUUGAACGGCCACAUUGGGACUGAGACACGGCCCAGACUCCUACGGGAGGCAGCAGUGGGGGAUAUUGCACAAUGGGGGGAACCCUGAUGCAGCGACGCCGCGUGGAGGAAGAAGGUUUUCGGAUUGUAAACUCCUGUCGUUAGGGACGAUAAUGACGGUACCUAACAAGAAAGCACCGGCUAACUACGUGCCAGCAGCCGCGGUAAAACGUAGGGUGCAAGCGUUGUCCGGAAUUACUGGGUGUAAAGGGAGCGCAGGCGGGAAGACAAGUUGGAAGUGAAAACCAUGGGCUCAACCCAUGAAUUGCUUUCAAAACUGUUUUUCUUGAGUAGUGCAGAGGUAGAUGGAAUUCCCGGUGUAGCGGUGGAAUGCGUAGAUAUCGGGAGGAACACCAGUGGCGAAGGCGGUCUACUGGGCACCAACUGACGCUGAGGCUCGAAAGCAUGGGUAGCAAACAGGAUUAGAUACCCUGGUAGUCCAUGCCGUAAACGAUGAUUACUAGGUGUUGGGGGAUUGACCCCCUCAGUGCCGCAGUUAACACAAUAAGUAAUCCACCUGGGGAGUACGACCGCAAGGUUGAAACUCAAAGGAAUUGACGGGGGCCCGCACAAGCAGUGGAGUAUGUGGUUUAAUUCGAAGCAACGCGAA